rnacentral:rRNA from 1 species
GGGGGGGCUCCGGAGUAUCACUCCCAAACCCAUGUGAACUUAUCUCUUUGUUGCCUCGGCGCAAGCUACCCGGGACCUCGCGCCCCGGGGGGCCCGCCGGCGGACAAACCAAACUCUGUUAUCUUCGUUGAUUAUCUGAGUGUCUUAUUUAAUAAGUCAAAACUUUCAACAACGGAUCUCUUGGUUCUGGCAUCGAUGAAGAACGCAGCGAAAUGCGAUAAGUAAUGUGAAUUGCAGAAUUCAGUGAAUCAUCGAAUCUUUGAACGCACAUUGCGCCCAUUAGUAUUCUAGUGGGCAUGCCUGUUCGAGCGUCAUUUCAACCCCUAAGCACAGCUUAUUGUUGGGACUCUACGGCUUCGUAGUUCCCCAAAGACAUUGGCGGAGUGGCAGCAGUCCUCUGAGCGUAGUAAUUCUUUAUCUCGCUUUUGUUAGGCGCUGCCCCCCCGGCCGUAAAACCCCCAAUUUUUUCUGGUUGACCUCGGAUCAGGUAGGAAUACCCGCUGAACUUAAGCAUAUCAAUAAGCGGAGGAA